rnacentral:rRNA from 1 species
GAUGAACGCUAGCGGCAGGCUUAAUACAUGCAAGUCGAACGGGAUUCGGAGUAGCAAUACUUUGAUGAGAGUGGCGCACGGGUGCGUAACGCGUAUGCAACCUACCUUUAACAGGGGAAUAGCCCCGAGAAAUCGGGAUUAAUACUCCGUAACAUUGCGGUGUGGCAUCACACUGCAAUUAAAGAUUUAUCGGUUAAAGAUGGGCAUGCGUGACAUUAGCUUGUUGGUGAGGUAACGGCUCACCAAGGCAACGAUGUCUAGGGGUCCUGAGAGGGUUAUCCCCCACACUGGUACUGAGACACGGACCAGACUCCUACGGGAGGCAGCAGUAAGGAAUAUUGGUCAAUGGGCGCAAGCCUGAACCAGCCAUGCCGCGUGCAGGAAGACGGCCCUAUGGGUUGUAAACUGCUUUUAUCAGGGAAUAAACCCCCGCUCGUGAGCGGGGCUGAAG